rnacentral:tRNA from 1 species
GGGCCCUUAGCUCAGUCUGGUUAGAGCGCUCGGCUCAUAACCGAGUGGUCGUUGGUUCAAAUCCGGCAGGGCCCA